GACGAACGCUGGCGGCGUGCCUAACACAUGCAAGUCGAGCGGAGCGGCGAACGGGUGAGUAACGCGUGAGUAACUGCCCCCCUCUCUGGGAUAACAGUUGGAAACGGCUCCUAAUACCGGAUAGUGGGGGAUGACUCGGGUCCUAUCGGCUUGUGGGUGGGGUAGUGGCCUACCAAGGCGACGACGGGUAGCCGGCCUGAGAGGGCGACCGGCCACAAUGGGCUGAGAUACGGACCAGACGCGUACGGGAGGCAGCAGGGGGGAAUAUGGCACAAUGGGGGAAACCCUGAUGCAGAAACGCCGCGUGCGGGAUGACGGCCUUCGGGUUGUAAACCGCUUUCAGCCAGGACGCGGUAGUGGCAGAAGAAGCACCGGCUAACUACGUGCCAGCAGCCGCGGUAAUUC
rnacentral:rRNA from 1 species